GAUGAAGAACUCAGCGAAAUGCGAUAAGUAAUGUGAAUUGCAGAAUUCAGUGAAUCAUCGAAUCUUUGAACGCACAUUGCGCCCCCUGGUAUUCCGGGGGGCAUGCCAGUUCGAGCGUCAUUUCACCACUCAAGCCUCGCUUGGUAUUGGGCAUCGCGGUCCGCCGCGCGCCUCAAAUCGACCGGCUGGGUCUUCUGUCCCCUAAGCGUUGUGGAAACUAUUCGCUAAAGGGUGUUCGGGAGGCUACGCCGUAAAACAACCCCAUUUCUAAGGUUGACCUCGGAUCAGGUAGGGAUACCCGCUGAACUUAAGCAUAUCAAUAAGCGGAGGA
rnacentral:misc_RNA from 1 species